UGGCGGCGCGUUUAAGCAUGCAAGUCGAGCGGCAGGGCCUUCGGGCCCUAGAGCGGCGGACGGGUGAGUAACACGUGGACAAUCUGCCCCCGGCCCGGGAUAGCCCAGGGAAACCUGGAUUAAUACCGGAUGAGACGGGACCCGCGAUGGCGGGACCCGGGAAGGCGCUGCGGCGCCGCCGGGGGAUGAGUCUGCGUCCCAUUAGCUAGACGGCGGGGUAACGGCCCACCGUGGCGACGAUGGGUAGCCGGCCUGAGAGGGUGGACGGCCACAUUGGAACUGAGACACGGUCCAGACUCCUACGGGAGGCAGCAGCUAAGAAUCUUCCGCAAUGGGCGAAAGCCUGACGGAGCGACGCCCGCGUGAACGAAGAAGGCCGUGAGGUUGUAAAGUUCUUUUCGGGAGGGGGAACAACCGUGGCAGGGAAUGGCCGCGGGAUGACGUGAAUCCCGGAAUAAGCCCCGGCUAACUACGUGCCAGCCGCUGC
rnacentral:rRNA from 1 species